AGUGAACGCUGGCGGUAGGCCUAACACAUGCAAGUCGAACGGCAGCACAGUAAGAGCUUGCUCUUACGGGUGGCGAGUGGCGGACGGGUGAGGAAUAUAUCGGAAUCUACUUUUUCGUGGGGGAUAACGUAGGGAAACUUACGCUAAUACCGCAUACGACCUACGGGUGAAAGCAGGGGAUCUUCGGACCUUGCGCGAUUGAAUGAGCCGAUGGCGGAUUAGCUAGUUGGCGGGGUAAAGGCCCACCAAGGCGACGAUCCGUAGCUGGUCUGAGAGGAUGAUCAGCCACACUGGAACUGAGACACGGUCCAGACUCCUACGGGAGGCAGCAGUGUGGAAUAUUGGACAAUGGGCGCAAGCCUGAUCCAGCCAUACCGCGUGGGUGAAGAAGGCCUUCGGGUUGUAAAGCCCUUUUGUUGGGAAAGAAAAGCAGCAGGUUAAUACCCCGCUGUUCUGACGGUACCCAAAGAAUAAGCACCGGCUAACUUCGUG
rnacentral:rRNA from 1 species